rnacentral:lncRNA from 1 species
AAAAGAUCCUGUUUCAUGAGAGAAAAGAGCAUUAAGCUUUAUUAACAAAUUUCUUAUUAUCGUGGACAAACAACAACCCAUUGGAUUUUUUUCUCUUCUCUAGGUUCUGACUUAAUGAAACCCACCAGUUUUUACACUCUAACUUUCCUAUUUCAAGUGUUGCCUGGAAAGGAAGUCUUAGAAUCCUGA